GACGAACGCUGGCGGCGUGCUUAACACAUGCAAGUCGAACGAUGAAGGAGAGCUUGCUCUCCGGAUUAGUGGCGAACGGGUGAGUAACACGUGACUAACCUGCCCCUUUCUCUGGGAUAACGCUCCGAAAGGAGUGCUAAUACCGGAUACGAACUCUGAACACAUGUUCGGAGUUGGAAAGUUUUUCGGAAAGGGAUGGAGUCGCGGCCUAUCAGCUUGUUGGUGAGGUAACGGCUCACCAAGGCGACGACGGGUAGCCGGCCUGAGAGGGCGACCGGCCACCCUGGGACUUAGACACGGCCCAGACUCCUACGGGAGGCAGCAGUGGGGAAUAUUGCACAAUGGGCGAAAGCCUGAUGCAGCGACGCCGCGUGAGGGAUGAAGGUCUUCGGAUUGUAAACCUCGUUCAGUAGGGACGAAGCGAAAGUGACGGUACCUAAAGAAGAAGCACCGGCUAACUACGUGCCAGCAGCCGCCGUAAGAC
rnacentral:rRNA from 1 species